AUUGAACGCUGGCGGCAUGCCUUACACAUGCAAGUCGAACGGCAGCACGGGUGCUUGCACCUGGUGGCGAGUGGCGAACGGGUGAGUAAUACAUCGGAACGUACCUUAUCGUGGGGGAUAACGCAGCGAAAGCUGUGCUAAUACCGCAUACGCCCUGAGGGGGAAAGCGGGGGAUCGAAAGACCUCGCGCGAUUAGAGCGGCCGAUGCCUGAUUAGCUUGUUGGUGGGGUAAAAGCCCACCAAGGCGACGAUCAGUAGCUGGUCUGAGAGGACGAUCAGUCACACUGGGACUGAGACACGGCCCAGACUCCUACGGUAGGCAGCAGUGGGGAAUUUUGGACAAUGGGGGCAACCCUGAUCCAGCAAUGCCGCGUGAGUGAAGAAGGCCUUCGGGUUGUAAAGCUCUUUUGUCAGGGAAGAAACACCGGCUCUAACACAGUCCGGGAAUGACGGUACCUGAAGAAUAAGCACCGGCUAACUACGUGCCAGCAGCCGCCGUAA
rnacentral:rRNA from 1 species